rnacentral:lncRNA from 1 species
UACAUAUAUAUAUAUAUAUAGAGGGCUACUCUAAUGAGAACUUUAAGUGGUGAGAACUAGAUACCAGGCUUAAAACAAAAAUAGAUACUGGGCUUAAAAUUAGGACAAGGCCCAAUAACAUAAACAUCCUGGACAUCGACGGUUUUUAAAAAUUAAAAUCAGUAUCAAACGUAACCAUACACCGUUACCCACUCAAACUCUCACUAGCAAAUCACCCCCAAAUCACAAAAAUCUCUCAACUACGCUGCUCAAUCGCCGUGUUUUGCUGUUGAACGCUCCUCAACGCUGCUCAAUUUGUUCUUGUAAGUGUUCGACUGUUCGUACGCAUUGUUCCUUUCACUACUCUAACGAAUCACUUUAAAUUUGAGUAGUUAUGUAAAUAGAUUCAUCAUUACGAAUCACUGAUGUUAGACACUUUGUUUUUCUGCAGAUUUCGUGCUUGGACGAAACUCGAGCACUAAAAAACCGGUAUGUGAGUUGUAUAUAUCGUAUGCAUGUGUUUUUAGUUAGUUUUUGUGAAGUGCAUAUCACUAAAUCACUUGCAAAUCAAUAAGUUUGUAUUAAUUUUUGAUUUUAACUGUGAUGAAAGUAACUUGUAUACGUGUUUAAUUAAAAAAUUUGCUUAGGGUUUUGUUCAUGAUUUAAUCAGUUUAAGAUGUGCAGAGCAGUAAUUAUGUAUUUGUAGUUUAGUGCUCAGAGGAUUUGUGAUAGGCAACAGUAUGUUUAUUGGCUUCCUGUGUUUGCAUUUGAUUUGAGGUGUUUUUUUGUCAAAUUGAAAAAGUGGAAAUGUGGUUGAGGGGGAGUGCGAUCUGAAAUGGUAGGAUAUAUAUGUUUCCAGCCCCUGAGAGAUAUAUCGACAUUCAAAAAGAAGAAAAGUGAUUUUCACAAGUUAAGUUGUUUAAGUUGAAGUAUCAAAAAGCUCAGGUGAGCGUUUUUGUUUCAUAACCUUACUUACUCAAAACUUUAAGUAUCAGAGCACUUAUGUAUAGAGCGUGUGUGUAAUAUUGUUUAUGUUUCUUAGGACUAGUUCAUCUGUUGCAUUUAUAGUUUUUCCACUUGCACAGGUGCAUUUUAGUAUCCUGAGAACUUAUGUAUCAGAGCCUGUGUAUAAUGCCUCUGGAUUAAUUGAGUGCUUCUUACCAUGGUUGAUAGGUUUCACCAAGUGAAGGGGAAGCAAGGUCUUUCCUGUGUAAUAUGCAUAUGAAAGGUAAGAAACCUAUUCACUGAUUUGUGCCUAUAUUGUACUUUUGGCAUUUUGUGGACAGAUCAAACACAAAUCAGAUAUACAUUAUAUAAUUCUGUUGCUAGAUAUAGGUUUUAAGUGAACACCAUGUAUGUAGUUGUAUAAAUACAUAAGUUACCUCUAAGAAAUCAGUUGUUCUCUUGAUUGCAAGCUCUUUGAACUGUUUUAUCCACCAAUAUAUUUAGAAAUAUGCACAAAGCACUUAUUAGCAUACACAAAGCACUUAAUUAUACAUAAAAAAACACUUAGAGGUAUAAAAAAUACACUGAUUUAUAAAAUAUGCACAAAGCACUUAAAAUUACACACAGAGCACUUAAUAUUUAAUAAAUAAAUAUUAAAUACUCAAGGUAUCUAAUCUGUUGUUAUGUGCUACAUGUGCGUGAUUUUAAGUGAUAUAUUUUCUUGUAUCAGGAUCCAGUAGAAGGCAAAGCAAAAGAUUAAAAAAAAAACAUAUCUCGAGCACUAAAAAAUUGGUAUAUGAGUCGUAUAUAUUGUAUGCAUGUGUUUUUAGUUAGUUUUUGUAAAGUGAUUAUCACUAAAUCACUUGCAAAUCAAUAAGUUUGUGUUAAUUUUUGGUUUUAACUGUAUUGGAAGCAACUUGUAUACGUGUUUAAUUAAAAAAUUUGCUUAGGAUUUUGUUCAUGAUUUAAUCAGCUUAAGAUGUGCUAAGCACUAAUUAUGUAUUUUAAGUUUAGUGCUCAGAGGUUUUGUGAUAGGCAGCAGUAUGUUUAUUUGCUUCCGGUGUUUGUAUUUGAUUUGAGGUUUAUAUUUUAUCAAAUUGCAAAAGUAGACAUGUGGUUGAGGGUGAUUUGAGGUGUAUAUUUUAUCAAUCUGAGCACAAAAGUUCUUUAGAUUCUGAGGCAAUCACCUCUUUAUAAUGUUGCCAAACUGCUAUACUGUAAAUUCCAAUCUGGAUGAAAUAUUGCUUUGGCAUAGGUCAAUUGGAAAAGAAGUAAGUGAUAUAGCUGAAACAGCUAGAAUGAUACCGUUAUACGAAGAUUUUUCUGAUAUAUCCAUAUUUAAAAGAGAAGAAAAGUGAUUUUCACAAGUUAAGAUGUUUAAUUAGAAGUAUUAAAAAGCUCAGGUGAGCGUUUUUGAUUCAUAAUCUUACUUACCCAAAACAUUAAGUAUCAGAGCACUUAUGUAUAGAGCAUGUGUGUAAUAUUGUUUAUGUUUCUUAGGACUAGUUCAUCUGUUGCAUUUAUAGUUCUUCCACUUGCACGGCUGCAUUUUAGUAUCAUGAGAACUUAUGUAUCGGAGCUUGUGUAUAAUGCCUCUAGACUGAUUGAGUGCCUCUUACCAUGGUUGAUAGGUUUCACUAAGUGAAAGGGAAGCAAGGUCUUUCCUGUAUAAAUUUGCAUAUGGCAGGUAAGAAACCAAUUCACUGUUUUGUGCCUAUAUUGUACUUUUGGCAUUUUGUGGUGAUAUCAAACACAAAUCAUAUAUACAUUAUAGAAUUAUGUUGCUGGAUAUAGGUUUUAAGUGAACACCAUGUAUGUAGUUGUAUAAAUACAUAAGUUACCUCUAAGAAAUCAGUUGUUCUCUUGAUUGCAAGCUCUUGAACUAUUUUAUCCAUCAAUAUAAUUAAAAAUAUGCACAAAGCACUUAUUGGCAUACACAAAGCACUUAAGUAUACAUAAAAAAACACUUAGAGGUAAAAAAAUAUACAUUGAUUUAUAAAAUAUGCACAAAGCACUUAAAAUUACACACAGAGCACUUAAUAAAUAAAUAUUAAAUACUUGGAAUACCUGCAACUAUUUUAACCUUUUCUGUAUUUUUUGUUGAUUCAGAUGGGAUAGAGAGCACAACUUCAAUGAUUAAGGGUGAAAUACUCAAAUGCAAUCCUUACACCUCACUUGAAUGAAUACAAAGAGAUUGAACCAAAGCGGGCAAAAGGCUUCUACAAAAAGAUUGCAAACAAGACACUCAUGUCCAUUGUACUUGCAUCAAGUUCAAAGAAACCCAAGAACACAGAGAUUCAUGGAAAUGUUAUAUUUUCAGACAUUGAAACAGAACAUGAAGAAGCAUGAUGAAGUACCGGCUGCUAGAAAGUUUAAUGUAUAGAAUUCUAUUUGUCAUAAAAACAUAUAUCACUUGUAUUCGACAUUUGAAUUUCAGUCAUUACUAGUGUUUUAAGGAACUUAUUGUAUUAUGCAUGUAGAAUUUCAGUCAUUACUAGUGUUUUUUACUCCUC